AUGGAGGAUAGCUACAUUUGUUCCCCUAUUCCUCCUCUAAAGUUGCCCUUUCGUCUCGGAGCACAGCACUACAUAUCCAUUCAUCCUCUUCAAGGCGUGGGUGGCCUCAUAGAUUCUGCGGUUGAUUUCAGACUCCUCUUGCCGAAGCUGCAGGGGACCAUGAGUGGAUUCAUCGUCCCAGAUUGGCCUAUGAAAAGUUCCAGUGUUCUUAAAAAAGGCAACCAAAGUAACAGAAGAGAAGCAAGAGCAAAGACUUCUGUAAUCUCUCAUGGUCUUGGCUAGCAAGACAAAGGAGGUGUUUUUAUUCUACUGUCAAAAUACACUGAGCCACCAGAUUGUUCUUUAGAUAUUUUUGAAGUGUUCAAACAUUUAAAUUGAACAAUUUUAUAUAUUAUAUGUAAAAGUUGCUUUAAACAAACAUUCAGUUGGAGAAUUUCAAUACAGUAGAACCUCAGAGUUAUGAACACCUCGAAAUGGAGGUUGUUCGUAACUCAGAAAUGUUAAUAACUCUGGACAAAGCAUUAUGGGUGGUUCUUUCAAAAGUUUACAACUGAACGUUGACUUAAUACAGCUUUGAAGCUUUACUAUGCAGAACAAAAAUACUGCUUUUAACCAUCUUAAUUUAAAUGAAACAAGCACAGUUUCCUUAUCUUGUCAAAUCUUUUUUUUUAAACUUUCCCUUUAUUUUUUAGUAGUUUACUUUUAACACAGUACUGUACUGUAUUUGCUUUUGUCUCUGCUACACUGGGUUGCCAACCCUGCGGGGGUGGUGCCUGCAGGCAGGGGCAGCGCACAGAGCCACCCUGAGCCUAGGACAUGCUGGCCAUUUCUGGGAGCUGCGCAAGGUAAGUGCCACACAGCUGGAGCCCGCACCCUCCCACACCACAACCCCAGCCCUGAGCCCUCUCCUGCACCCAAACUCCCUCCCGCAGCCCGCACCCCCUCCUGCACCCCAACUCCCUGCCCA
rnacentral:lncRNA from 1 species